rnacentral:piRNA from 1 species
UGGACAAUCUUUUGGCAUCUGGUGGC